AAAGAGAGAGACAGCAAGAAUUACAGCCUGUAUGGAAGACGACUCUAAAUAAUGAUGAUAAUAUUGGUGGAAUCAAAGCAUCUAGAAGACCAUGCAUUCCAUUUUAAAUCUAGUUGAGAUGGCAUAAUUCAUACCUCCUCAAAUGUGGACAAUUAUAAAUGACUCAACCAGCAGGUGCCAAAUUCCACCUCCACCCUGAGUAUACUUGAAGCAACCACCUAAACCCAAGCUAAUAGCCAGAUGUAUGCUCACUGAAUGGAUAACUCACCUAACCUUGAGAAGCUCCUUAAAGUACUCUCCUGAUCUUCUGGCAAAUAAUUCAGCAAACAUCUUUCGUUGCUUGAGAAUGCCCUGGGAGGCCUCCUCCUUAUCCUCAG